UUCCACAGCUACUGGUCUGCAGCUGUUCUAAUGGUAGCAGUUGUAGCAUUCCUCUGUGGGAAAUAAACUGUUAUACAAUUAUAUGCCUCUUUCUUAGCCAAAGAGAAAGUGGGCACAUGUGUGUGACAGACACAU
rnacentral:snoRNA from 17 species